rnacentral:rRNA from 1 species
CACGUAGGGCGCAAGCGUUGUCCGGAAUUAUUGGGCGUAAAGAGCUCGUAGGCGGUCUGUUGCGUCCGCUGUGAAAACCCGGGGCUUAACCCUGGGCUGGCAGUGGAUACGGACAGACUAGAGGUAGGUAGGGGAGAAUGGAAUUCCCGGUGUAGCGGUGAAAUGCGCAGAUAUCGGGAGGAACACCGGUGGCGAAGGCGGUUCUCUGGGCUGUAACUGACGCUGAGGCGCGAAAGCCAGGGGAGCAAACGGG